UGGGUUUCCCUCCAUUUUGGGUGCGAGCUCUGCCUAAAACCCUAGCGCUGCAGGGUUUUGUCUCUGAAGCAGUGCUUGUUAAACAAUGGCGGAGACGCAGAAGCGAAGAGCAUCGCUGUUCUACCAUGGAUGCGAAGCCCUGUCGACGUCUCUUUAUUCUAGGAAUGCCCCCCUGAGAUCCUCCCCUUGAAGCCCUGUCGACCCCGGCCAAUUUCCUAUUUAUUCUGAAUCAUUUGAAUGGUUAAUGCCUUCCUAUCAUGGAGCUUUUCUUUUGUUUAUGCCUCGAAUUGACUUCUGGAGCUUUCUAUUUGAUAUUCAUCAUUUAUUGUACUCAGAUGGAACAAGUGAAUCCAUGGUGGAUAUCUCAUUGAAGAUUUAACAAGCUGCAAAAUGUUGAAGAGGUUCUUACUGCGGUUGCGCCUGCUGUGGGCUUAUCUGUAGGUCUGCCUGUUGGUCUAUCCUCCAUAGCAGAUGAAAUUCUGAGCUCAUCAGGGGACCUAAGCUCAAGGCAGGCAUCUGUUACGAUCCAGAAGAUUUUUUGGUUGAGCUACUGAGUUCUGUGGACAUAUUGGUGGCAACAUCUGGAAGAUUGAUGGACAAUAUUAACUUCACAAAGGAAUUGCAAGUUCUACUUCUUGUAACUAUGGUUAUACUGUUGAAGUAUUGUUCACCAUUGUUAUAAUUAAUCCUCAUAAUUUUUUUUUACUGGCAUGUUCUUUUUGGUUUACCUCAAAAUUAUCGUGCUGACUGCAUAUACUGUUUGGAUUCAUGCAGUGGUGUUGAUGGGUGUGUUAAGGGUAAACCUUACCGAAGGCUUGCAAAGAUGGUUCUCUCUGCAACGCUUACACAGGCUCCAGGCAAGCGUGCUCAGCUUGAUUUGCAUCACGCUCUAUUCUUAACCACUGGGAAAAGAAGAUAUAAACUUCCGGAGUAAUUAGAAUCAUACGUGAUGCCCUAGAGAAACUGAAGGAAAAGGUUGAAUCAGAAAGAAAGCACAUUCAUGUCUUCCAGAGUGCGCAGACGAAAAGAUACGAACUCCUCCAAAGAAAAAGGUUGGUACUAACAAACAAGUUCCUCUGAGAGUUUAAUGUUCCAUUUCGUAACAUAUGAAAAACUCGUUUAGGCCGUGUAGGGAAAGAUUAAAUGGCUGGCAUGAUUUGAAUGUUUAAUCCUGCAUGUUCUGUUGACUAAUCUGCGUUGAAACUGUUGGACUGAAUGACAGUAUUCUUAUGCAUUUUAACAUUACAAAUUCCUCAUUUCAAACUCGACAAACUAUACAUAGAAUUGCAUUACAGUCUUUUAGCAAGUUCACUGGAAACUGUGCGAGCACAAAUUCCAGGAACUCAUCCCACAACGACAUGAAAAUUCAACUACAGGAUAUGGUGAUGAAGCCUCUAAGGCCUAAUUUUCACUCCAGACAACAAAUUAUUCAAUCAUUGAAUUUGGAGAAAGAUCUAUUUAUGUUUCUGACGAAGUACAUAGAAUUGGCACUAACAACCAUAGACGCAGGGGUUGUUGAUGAUGGUAGGCUUCUUGGAGAAGCAGGAUACUCAUUCUUGCUGCCAUCUCUCUCCUCUUCACUGAUGGUAUCCAACACUUUUGACGUUGGGCGUCUCAUGACACUGAUAAUCUGUGGUGGCGCGACCUCGGUGACGAACCUUGCUAUACGGGAAUUUGCCAUUACUUUUGAAGGAUGAUGGUUGAAAAAACUGAUGCUCUAGGAGGUCAGAUUGGUUGGGUUGAGCGUGAAUGCAAGCUUUUGGGUGAUAUUUAUGAGAAUCUGCGUAGACUAAGAAUUGAAUGAAAGUCCUGUGCCGAGGGGGGAUACUUGAAAUCAAUAUUUUUGGCUAUGUUGGUGCUGCUUAGUACACAUCUUCCAUUGAUAUUUAUUGCAGUUUUCAAAUGUCUGAUCUCUUCCCCCGACCUUUCUAGGAGAUUAACAUGUGGUGUUUAGAGGUAUAUCCCAAAAUUUGCGGGGACCAAUAGCUUUUGCAUUUGCCCUCUUCAAAAUUUAACAUUGAUUGGCAAAUCCAUAUGCCACGUUUCUUAAUUUUCUGGUAUGUUAAUGUUGACAAAAUUUUCUAUUCAGUUUC